ACAACAACAUUCGGACCGUCGGUCUACCGAGCAAUUGCACCCGCUCGGUGGAAAAUCUUCCUUUUGUCGUAUACA
rnacentral:pre_miRNA from 1 species